GGGUGCAAGCGUUGUUCGGAAUUACUGGGCGUAAAGCGAGCGUAGGCGGUUUCCUAAGUCAGGUGUGAAAGCCCCGGGCUCAACCCGGGAAGUGCACUUGAAACUGGGAGGCUAGAGUAUCGGAGAGGUUGGUGGAAUUCUCGGUGUAGAGGUGAAAUUCGUAGAUAUCGAGAGGAACACCGGUGGCGAAGGCGGCCUGCUGGGCAGUUACUGACACUGAUGCGCGACAGCGUGGGGAGCAAACAGG
rnacentral:rRNA from 1 species